rnacentral:rRNA from 1 species
ACAAACCGGAGGAAGGUGGGGAUGACGUCAAGUCAUCAUGGCCCUUACGGCCUGGGCUACACACGUGCUACAAUGGUCGGUACAAAGGGUUGCCAAGCCGCGAGGUGGAGCUAAUACCCAUAAAACCGAUCGUAGUCCGGAUCGCAGUCUGCAACUCGACUGCGUGAAGUCGGAAUCGCUAGUAAUCGUGAAUCAGAAUGUCACGGUGAAUACGUUCCCGGGCCUU